GAAUUAGCUUAAUGGUAGAGCAUCAGCCUCGCAUGCAGAAGAUCCGAAGUUCAAUACCCAGAAUCUCCA